CACGUAGGGCGCGAGCGUUGUCCGGAAUUAUUGGGCGUAAAGAGCUUGUAGGUGGCUCGUUGCGUCGGGAGUGAAAACCUGCGGCUUAACCGCAGGCCUGCUUCCGAUACGGGCGAGCUAGAGUUCGGCAGGGGAGACUGGAAUUCCUGGUGUAGCGGUGGAAUGCGCAGAUAUCAGGAGGAACACCGGUGGCGAAGGCGAGUCUCUGGGCCGAUACUGACACUGAGAAGCGAAAGCGUGGGGAGCGAACAGG
rnacentral:rRNA from 1 species